ACUCCUACGGGAGGCAGCAGUAGGGAAUCUUCCACAAUGGGCGCAAGCCUGAUGGAGCAACACCGCGUGAGUGAAGAAGGGUUUCGGCUCGUAAAGCUCUGUUGUUAAAGAAGAACACGUAUGAGAGUAACUGUUCAUACGUUGACGGUAUUUAACCAGAAAGUCACGGCUAACUACGUGCCAGCAGCCGCGGUAAUACGUAGGUGGCAAGCGUUAUCCGGAUUUAUUGGGCGUAAAGAGAGUGCAGGCGGUUUUCUAAGUCUGAUGUGAAAGCCUUCGGCUUAACCGGAGAAGUGCAUCGGAAACUGGAUAACUUGAGUGCAGAAGAGGGUAGUGGAACUCCAUGUGUAGCGGUGGAAUGCGUAGAUAUAUGGAAGAACACCAGUGGCGAAGGCGGCUACCUGGUCUGCAACUGACGCUGAGACUCGAAAGCAUGGGUAGCGAACAGGAUUAGAUACCCUGGUAGGCAACAC
rnacentral:rRNA from 1 species